AUCCAGAUGACGAGUCCAAAAUAGGACGAAAGGCGGGUCCUGGAU
rnacentral:hammerhead_ribozyme from 1 species